GGAAAGUGAAUUUGGUUGAGUCGUUUCGGAUUUAAUUGCAGGCACGGUUUAAUUGCAGCUCCGGUCCUCUUUUGGUUUCAAAUUGCAGGUACUGCUGCACACGGGAACCGUGUCUUUUAAACAGUUGUACGAGCUAAGAUUCUUAAAGCUGGUAAGGGUGAGCCAUAUGAAGUAGCAAUAAAAAUUAUCCGCAAUAAUGACACCAUGUACAAGGAUGGUUUGGAUUAGUUGGUCAUUUAAAAGAAAUUAGUAGGUCUAAAUCCGGAUGAUAAGCUUCAUUUUAUUCGUUUCCUUUCAAGCUUUAAGUAUAGAAAUUAUCUAUGUUUAGUUUUUGAAUCUCUAAAUAUGAAUCUGAGUGAAGUUUUAAAGAAGUUUGGUUGUAAUAUUAGCCUUAGGCUAACUGUUGUGAGGGCAUAUGCAAAACAACUAUUUAUUGCACUGAAGCGUCUCCGUAACUGUGGUGCUCUGCAUUGUGAUAUAAAGCCUGGCAAUAUGUUGGUAUGGCUAAAAUGUUGCUGUGUUUAAAUUGUUUUUAUCGUGAGUCGCUGUUAUCGUGCCUCUGAAAUAAGUAAGUAUUGUAUAUUAUACUUUUUAUUGCAUUACUCCCAACUACUUUUUCUUAAACACUUAUAUUUCCAGCUGGGCUUUUGAAUGUUUCUUUGCUGUUCUUGGCUUGCAGUAUGAUCAUCCAUUGGAUAUUUGGUCUGUAGGAUGUAGUUUGUAUGAACUCUAUAUAGGGAAGGUUUUUUUCCAGGGCUCACUAACAACGACAUGCUACGGCUUCACAUGGAAUUGAAGGGCCCUUUUCCAAAAAAGAUGCUCCGUAAGGUCUCAUUCAAGCCAUUCCAAGGAUUUUCAGGCCAAUUCAUAGGUGGUCUCAUUCAAGCCAAGUCUGUCAAAGGAUUUUCAGGCAACUACUCUGCUAUAGCAUCAUUCAGACCUUGUCGCUUUUGCAUCUGAGUCGACAACCAACAUAAGGACUAUAGCAUCAUUUUGUCACUCUUCUUGACAAUUUCAGUUUUCUUGAAAUUGAAUAUUGACUUCUGAUAUGCAUGUAAUGUAUAUAGAUUAUGAUAUGCAUGUAGUGUAUAUAGAUAAGACACUAAUGUGUUAUGGUUUAGGAAUGGUUUGAAUUGAA